GAUGAAGAACGUAGCGAAAUGCGAUAAGUAAUGUGAAUUGCAGAAUUCAGUGAAUCAUCGAAUCUUUGAACGCACAUUGCGCCCGCCAGUAUUCUGGCGGGCAUGCCUGUUCGAGCGUCAUUUCAACCCUCAAGCCCCCGGGCUUGGUGUUGGGGAUCGGCGUGCCCUCGCGGCGCGCCGUCCCCUAAAUCUAGUGGCGGUCUCGCUGUAGCUUCCUCUGCGUAGUAGCAACACUCGCACUGNNNNNNNGCGCGGCCACGCCGUUAAACCCCCCACUUCUGAAAGUUUGACCUCGGAUCAGGUAGGAAUACCCGCUGAACUUAAGCAUAUCAAUAAGCGGAGGA
rnacentral:misc_RNA from 1 species